rnacentral:rRNA from 1 species
UACAGAGGGUGCUAGCGUUGUUCGGAAUUAUUGGGCGUAAAGGGCGCGUAGGCGGCCCUGUGUGUCGGGUGUGAAAGCCCACCUCUUAAAGGCGGAAUUGCAUUCGAAACUACAGGGCUGGAGUGUCGGAGAGGAUGGCGGAAUUCCUGGUGUAGAGGUGAAAUUCGUAGAUAUCAGGAGGAACACCGGUGGCGAAGGCGGCCAUCUGGACGACAACUGACGCUGAGGCGCGAAAGCGUGGGGAUCAAACAGG